rnacentral:misc_RNA from 1 species
AACAAUAUCAUAAUGUCGAUAUGCCAGUGCAGACCUGUACAAAUAAUCAAUGUCCCGAAAGGUAUCGCUGGGAACAAGGGAGGUAGUCUUUCCAUCGGAAGACCUCCAACAGCUACGAGACUGCAACCAUUUACUGAACAAUCCAGAGGCACUCCGAAAGGAAAUUCAAGAAAAGGGAUACCUAUUCAUCCGGGGAUUUCAUAACAGACAGGAGGUUCUGCAGGCCCGUCUGUCAAUCUUGGAAUAUGUAAAUAAAGAGGCUGAAUUUAAGUUAGUGGCCCCGCCCACUGAGGGCGUGCUGGACGAGAGGUGUGGCCGAGGAUGCAUACCGUUCAUGGAGGGCAAGAAUGACAUCACACACAGUCCUGAAGUUCUACGAGUUCUGGAGGGACAUCGACCCAGAAUGUUUUUCGAGAGAUUUUUGGACAGUGAGGUUAAGACGUUUGAUUUUAAAUGGUUGAGGGGGAUCAACCGUAAGCAAUUCACUGGAGCCCAUGUAGACAACGUAUACAUGGGGCGCGGAUCUAGGAAUCUGUUCACUGUAUGGACUCCCUUUGGGGAUACGCCGGUAGAAAUGGGAACAUUGGCGGUCUGUGAGGGAUCGAACUCUUUACCAAGUUUUAGACAGCUUCAAGAGACAUACGGAGAACUGGAUAUAGAGAAAGAAAACGUCGAAGGCACUGGUUGGUUCACAGAGGACCCGUUCGAGAUUACAUCAAAAUUUGGCGGGAAGUGGAAAACCUCGGACUUUCAGGCUGGAGAUGUACUGAUAUUUACCAUGAGGACGGUCCACAUGUCGACGUCCAACCUGACGGAUUACGUACGUAUCAGCUGUGACACUCGGUAAGAAACUAAGAAUAUACACUGUAAUUAUUGUGUAUUUGUACACACGCAUGCUUGUGUGGGUAUACUUUGUGACAUCCGAUGAUUAGAAUAGACUGCAAUGCGUACCGUGUAAAUAACACCUGAUAAAAUACACACGAUCACAUGUAGUAUCUGUAUUUGUCUAUGCAUAUUAUGAAAAAGGAACCCCUCCAUUUUAUUGGAACCUAGACUUCAUUGACACAUACAGAGAAAAAGAAUCCAAAAAAAAAAAUCAUUAUUGAUUACAAAACAAAUGCUACAUGUACGUGUGCUUUUCCCCCACUCUAGGUGGCAGCCAGCCGAUGAGGCGGCGGAUCCAAGAUAUGUGGGCGAUAUAGGAGCGGUGGCCCCAAAGUACGGCCUGUUUGGUAAAGAAAAGGAAAAAGUGCAGAAAGUGGAGGAUCUAAAACAGUUGUGGGGGAUCUAACAACUUCAGUGGCAGCAAUACAGCAGAUACAUUUAGAACAACGUGGCCACUCAUCAUUUAUUACAUGGCCUUGGACUGAAUUAAUACUGAAAAUGGAUGUCGAUUAGUUUUUUCAAUUAAACUGUUAAAUCAACAAAAUGCAUGUGAGCUAAAAGGAAAUGUUGUAUAAUUCAGUUCUUUAUUUGUUUCUCUUUUCUCCAGCUCAAAUGUAAAGACAGAGCAAACAUUCAAAAACUGACAAGUUACUUAAUAAUCCAAUGAAUAAUGUGUGCUUAAUAUUAGCAUACCGGUAUUUCUAUUCAUUAAGAUUUUAGAGUUUAUUUCUUAUUUUUAACUAUUGAAAACUAUUCCUUGGUAUGAGGUGUAUUACCAAGCAUUUCAUAUUCCUGAAUAAACAUGCUUACCUGUAUCUGAUAGUCCUACACUAACUGAACAUUUAUGACGGAUUUUCCCCGAGUUAAUUCUAAAAUUCAUUUUUCUUACUCAUUCACAGUUUUAUUAAUAUAUUGAGCAAAUAGUGAUGUAAGAAAAAAUGAAAUACUUCGCUUUGUACAUGAAAUUAAUUCAUUAUUUAUGGCAUAUCAUUACAAUGACUUUUGUUUUAAAACCAGAAAUUGUUUAAACUUCUUUCUCAUUAAAAUAGCUAUGUACAAUUCAACAAUAAACAACAUGAAAAAUUAAAACAUUUAAUUCUGAAUCACCUUAUCAAUAAACAAGAAUUUUUUUAUGAGUUAUGAUGAAUUUAUUAACUAUAAUUAUGUAAUCUUUAGUUGUAAUACAUCAAGCAAUCAUGUGUAUACACAUUACACUAAAAAUAAAAACUAUUUAUAAUAC